rnacentral:rRNA from 1 species
GAUGAACGCUGGCGGCGUGCUUAACACAUGCAGGUCGAACGAAGCACUUUAUUUGAUUUCCUUCGGGACUGAUUAUUUUGUGACUGAGUGGCGGACGGGUGAGUAACGCGUGGGUAACCUGCCUUGUACAGGGGGAUAACAGUUGGAAACGGCUGCUAAUACCGCAUAAGCGCACAGCAUCGCAUGAUGCAGUGUGAAAAACUCCGGUGGUAUAAGAUGGACCCGCGUUGGAUUAGCUAGUUGGUGAGGUAACGGCCCACCAAGGCGACGAUCCAUAGCCGACCUGAGAGGGUGACCGGCCACAUUGGGACUGAGACACGGCCCAAACUCCUACGGGAGGCAGCAGUGGGGAAUAUUGCACAAUGGGCGAAAGCCUGAUGCAGCGACGCCGCGUGAGCGAAGAAGUAUUUCGGUAUGUAAAGCUCUAUCAGCAGGGAAGAUAAUGACGGUAC